UCAAGUUAUUUUAAUUUCUCAUUUAAAGAUUAACUUCUAUUGAGUAUCAACAAAACCUAAUACUACAAUCACUUUAUUAUUAAAAAUGAGCAACACAAAAACUCAACACCAACAACAAGAAAACUUGGAGAACGUCCCGCCGGCCGGUUAUCCAACUUUAACACCGUAUGAAGAAAAAAUAAAGAAGAAAGGUUGGUUUGGUACUAAGAAUAGAGGCAAGAAAGGUUUCCUUGAAGGAUGUUUGGCUGGGCUAUGUUGCUGUUGGAUUUGUGAAGAAUGUUGCUGCUAAAAUAUCAUCUCUCGAUGAUCAUCUAAGCUUCAUUUUCAUCUUUCAUUAAUCUUUAUGUAUUGUGUGGAGUAUUAAUUUGGAUAUUAUUAUUCUUCAAUUAUGUAUAUUUAAUCAGAAAAUAUCAUGAUAUAUGUAAUAUAUUUUCAAUUAUAUUUAUCAUGUGUAUGAUAAAUUAUUGGU